GACGAACGCUGGCGGCGCGCUUAACACAUGCAAGUCGAGCGAAGCGGCGGACGGGUGAGUAACACGUGAGUAACCUGCCUUAGACAUUGGGAUAGCCUCGGGAAAACGGGAUUAAUACCAAAUGGGAUAAGAUGGACUAGAGUCCCAUUAGCUAGUUGGUGAGGUAACGGCCCACCAAGGCGACGAUGGGUAGCCGGCCUGAGAGGGUGAACGGCCACAUUGGAACUGAGAAACGGACCAAACUCUACGGGAGGGAGCAGUGGGGAAUAUUGCACAAUGGAGGGAACUCUGAUGCAGCGACGCCGCGUGAACGAAGAAGGCUUUCGAGUCGUAAAGUGCUUUUAUAUGGGAAGCGGUACCAUAAGAAAAAGCCCCGGCUAACUACGUGCCAGCAGCCGCGGUAAUAC
rnacentral:rRNA from 1 species